rnacentral:rRNA from 1 species
AUUGAACGCUGGCGGCAGGCCUAAUACAUGCAAGUCGAACGGUAACAUAAUAAAAGCUUGCUUUUAUUGAUGACGAGUGGCGGACGGGUGAGUAAUAUCUGGGAAACUGCCUGACAGAGGGGGACAACAACUGGAAACGGUUGCUAAUACCGCAUACACCCUGAGGGGGAAAGUCGCAAGACGCUGUCAGAUGUGCCCAGAUGGGAUUAGCUAGUAGGUGAGGUAAAGGCUCACCUAGGCGACGAUCUCUAGCUGGUCUGAGAGGAUGAUCAGCCACAUUGGGACUGAGACACGGCCCAGACUCCUACGGGAGGCAGCAGUAGGGAAUAUUGCACAAUGGGGGGAACCCUGAUGCAGCCAUGCCGCGUGUGUGAAGAAGGCCUUCGGGUUGGU